rnacentral:tRNA from 1 species
GGUUCCGUAGCUCAGUUGGAUAGAGCAACAGCCUUCUAAGCUGUAGGUCUUGGGUUCGAGCCCCAACGGGAUCA